GAUGAACGCUGGCGGCGUGCUUAACACAUGCAAGUCGAACGAAGCAUUUACGAAGGAGUUUUCGGACAACGGACUAAAUGCUUAGUGGCGGACGGGUGAGUAACGCGUGAGUAACCUGCCUUGGAGAGCGGAAUAACACAUGGAAACGUGUGCUAAUACCACAUAAUGCAAUUGAGUCGCAUGGCUCUGAUUGCCAAAGAUUUAUCGCUCUGAGAUGGACUCGCGUCUGAUUAGCUAGUUGGUGAGGUAAUGGCUCACCAAGGCGACGAUCAGUAGCUGGACUGAGAGGUUGACCGGCCACAUUGGGACUGAGAUACGGCCCAGACUCCUACGGGAGGCAGCAGUGGGGAAUAUUGGGCAAUGGGCGCAAGCCUGACCCAGCAACGCCGCGUGAAGGAAGAAGGCUUUCGGGUUGUAAACUUCUUUUAUCGGGGACGAAAAAAAUGACGGUACCCGAGGAAUAAGCCACGGCUAACUACGUGCCAGCAGCCGCGGUAAUAC
rnacentral:rRNA from 1 species